rfam:Ipomoea nil DNA, scaffold: scaffold2283, cultivar: Tokyo-kokei standard.
GUUGAGAUGGCCGAGUUGGUCUAAGGCGCUAAAUUCAGGUUCUGGUCUGAAAGGGCGUGGGUUCAAAUCCCACUCUCAACA